rnacentral:lncRNA from 1 species
GAGGUGCUGCAGGAAAGGGCAGCCUGUGCGCAGAGCAGGGAGGCAACCCUGGGGGAGGAGGCAUGCUAGUGGCUAGUGGGGGAUGACAUCAUGGCAGAGAUAGAGGUGGUGGCCAAGGAGGAGGCCAAUGUGGAGCGGCAGCAGGAGGACCCGCAGGCACAGCCUGGCCCUGGCCCCAGGACGCCCCGGCCAGCAACCAACUCGCUGGACGUCCUUCACUUGGAGC